AAAAGAAAAGAAAAACAGUGGUUUACUUGCUAAACAGAUUCCACAUUCUAGCAGCUUUAUUCGUAAAGCAUGGAAUUACUUUAACAAAAACUUUUCACCGUGCAAACGAAAAUUCACUCGUAAUGGUCGAGCAAUUAAAACUGAAAGGGUCAAGAAAAAAAAACGAAUAUGCUUCCUCACGAUGUUGCCUAACAUUAGAAUUAACUUGAUCAAAUAGUAUAAACUGCAAUCUAACAAGAAAAUGACUGGGUGGACAUGUGAAAACCGGGAGUUGUGGAAGUAGGGAAGUCCGACUUGAUAUCAGUCUGCGCAGACCUACUCGGGAGAAAAUGUAUUCUUGGGCUUGCAAUACAAACUUUGCAACCUGGGUGAAGCUACAAACUUCAUUGAGGUACAGGUUUUCUGGACAUGUUGGGGUAGAAAAGUUUUAAGAAGGCGGAGUAUUACAACCUCAUGUAGUUUCUACAAAGUCGAUGAAACGCUCAGGAAUUAAGCAGGGCGAAACUAAGUCUGAUGAAGAAAAUCAAUCUUGAGUUGGUUUACAAGUGGAUUCAACAUUAAUCAGUCGCUCCUACAGUGAAUUGCAGCUUCUGCCUCUUCAUGUCUUCUACGGAUAUUCCGUCGUCGGAGAGCACUUGAAAUGAAUUUGGUGUCCACUCUACCAACCACCUAUCUUUGGUGAAGCCUACCUUUACGCCUACGUUUUCCCAUAUGCUUUCUCCCAAUCAGAGCAAAUCCGUCUGAUGUCAUUUUUGACAGACUUAAUUUAACAGUAGUAAUAAGACACUACAAUAAGACGCUCUUUCACUUAGUAAAAAGUUUAUUUUUCAAACUGAAAAACUAACAGGGAAAAAUUCCCAUUUAAUUUCCUGGUUCUCCAGGAAAUUAAAUGAGUGAGAGAGAGCAGAACACAAAGGAUUAGUGGAGUUUUCUUACAGCUUGGAGUUCAGGACCACUGGGGAUAUUACAUAUGCCAAAAUAUGAAGAAUAAAAAUUGAACUUUUUUACCACGGAGUUAUGAUUAAGAUAAAUAUCUGAUCACUAAGUUCGGUUUGCAAUUGCAUAUAAAUCCGGGCUCUACUUAUAACACGUUUCCUUUGGGUGCAGUGCUGCCUAUAGUGUUUAGUGCAGUGGUGCAGUGUUCAAGUGUAGAUAACAGUACAAACUUGUACCAGGUUUAAGUCAUGUA